rnacentral:rRNA from 1 species
UACAGAGGUCCCGAGCGUUGUUCGGAUUCAUUGGGCGUAAAGGGUGCGUAGGCGGCUUCCUAAGUUUGAUGUGAAAUCCUGGGGCUCAACCCUGGAACUGCAUUGAAUACUGGGAGGCUAGAGUACUGGAGAGGAAACUGGAAUUUACGGUGUAGCAGUGAAAUGCGUAGAGAUCGUAAGGAAGACCAGUGGCGAAGGCGAGUUUCUGGACAGUUACUGACGCUGAGGAGCGAAAGCGUGGGGAGCGAACAGG